rnacentral:lncRNA from 1 species
AAAGAAAAAAGAAAGCUUCCAAUCUCAUUUUAUCUCCAUUACUUUCUACACCAAAAUUGGGUCCCACAACCCGGUUCUUUGUCUAGAGGAUAGCAGUUGAGUACUAGUGGUGGUCUCGGGUAGAAUUGGUAAGAAGACAUCAAACCUUUUGAAAGCUUCAAAGGUAAUACUUCUUAAAACCCUAAUUUGAUUAGUUUAUGGUUACAUGUUAAUUGUGGCAAUUAGGGUAGAAAUUCGAUUCUUUUUCCGCUGUGCAUGACUUAGUUCUAUCAUGUGGUAUCAGAGCAUGCUUCAUUUUUACCCAAUUGCAUGUGGUGGGUUCAUAUUUAUUAGAUAAAUUUUGGUUUGAACUAAAAUGGAUAUAUUAUGAUUUUGGCUCUAGAUUAAGUGUUUUUGUUCUAAUUAUUGUAAUUAGCCUUGUUAAUGGCUUAUUUUUAUUGUUGCAAAGUGUUUGUAAUUUUUUUAAAAAAUAAAAAAAAGUCAUUAGAGUUGAAGCUAGGCUGUAAUUGGUUCAACCGGGUGAGAGAAUUGAAAAAAAUGAAGAAAAGAAGGUCACAGACCCGAAAACCCGGUUUUGACCCGCUUCGCGACCCGCACGCGCCCGCAUGCCCGCGCGCCCUUUGCGCCGCGCGCCCUCCUGCGUCCGCACGCGCCGCGCGCCCGCGCGCCCUCCUGCGCCGCGCGCCCUCCUGCGCCGCGCGCCCUCCUGCGCCGCGCGCCCGCAUGUGUCCGCGCGCCCGCAUGCGCCCGCACGCCCGCCUUCGCCCGCGCGCCUGCCUUCGCACGACCCGUGUGCGCCUGGGCCGGUUCAAGCCAAUAAAUUUGGUUUUUGGGCCGGUUCAAGCGGUUCGGUUGGUUUUUUAGUCGGUUCGAAAUUUUUGGGAGUGGUUCUGUACUACACCAAAUUAAUUAUGUAAUAAUUUAGCACUUAGCUUAAUUUAGGAGCCAAAAAUCAGUCCAUUUUAGGGUGUUUUUUUUAUUUAUGCAUGUGAUGUAUGAUUAAAUUACUUUAAAUUUGUAUGUGCAUUUUGAAUGUCAUAUAGAUUUAAAAUCCCACCAUAGGUUAACAUGUUCAUGCAUUAAAAUGUAUGAUAUAAAGGUUAUAUUGUAUUGUAUGCAUGUUAAUUGAUUAAUAUGGAAAUUAAUUAAUAUGAUUAAUUAAUUAUUUAAUUAAUUAAGUUAUUCUUGAUUAAAUAUGAUUUAAUCAAAUUAAUUAAUUAUUGUUUGAUUUAAUUUAAUUAAAUAUGAUUUAAUUAAAGUUAAAUAAAUUAAAAUCCAUAUUAAUUGAUUGUUUUUAUUAUAUAUUGAUAAAAUGAUUGAUUAAGUUUAAAAGUUUUUAUAAGUGUUAUAAAAUAAAUUAGACUUUUAAAAUCAAUAACAAAGAUUAAAUGCAUGCUCACUUAGGUUAAACAUAUCUUCCAUUUUUCAUAGAAAUAGGUCGAUAUCUUGUAAAACUGGUUACAAAAGGCUCACCUGGUUCAAUCUUGUCAACAAGUCAGAUAAGAUGACUAAGGUUGGAGGUUCUUAAGUUGACGGUUUACGGAACACCUCCUACCUGGAGAUCGUAAUCAGUUCUUGAGCCUAGUUAACCUAGUUUUAUGAGCAUUCGUGAGAGGUGUGAGGUAAUAAAAAUGGUUUUUCACCUAGACAUCAUAGGUUAAAAUCCUGUAUAAUGGUUAUACUUGGAUGUUUUAUCUAGACUUAAGAUUUGUUUAAGUUAGCCUAAAUAUAAAUCUUGAAGUUUGGAUUACCCUAUUUUUUUCUUUUAGAACACUUCAACUAGAGAAAAAUAAUGUAUUUUAGCUCUAGUGUCCCUAAGAGUUCACACCGUGAGGUCCAUGCAGGGCUUUGUGCCGUGCAUAGGAGCGGCCUCCCUUCGGAGAGUGUUUGCAUGGAUCAAAAUCAAGGUGAAUAGGGGAAGUAGUUCAUAGUAAGUGGGUGAGGGAUUUGUGGCAGCACAUCCCACGGUCUCUUCCAUUAGGUCGCACCGUGAGAUUUCUAUAAUAUGCCUGCUUGUCUGCCCUGGAGCGACGUUCCCUUCGGAGGGUUGUAUUAUAGGAUUCGGAACACCGCGAACUCCAAAACUGGAUAGGAUUUCUUAGAUUAGUUUUCAUAAAUGAUUCUAAUCUAUAAAAUCUGAAAAUGGUGGGUAACACUUACAAGAAUUACUAAGUUGUUAGUAUAUUCUUGACUAAAGUAGCGAUAACUAAGUGCUAUAAAGAAUAAAGAGUUAUUCUUGAGAUAGCAUCUAGUCAAGAUUGUCUUGGUUCAAAGGAGGAAUAAUCAACUACCCUUCGGAGAAGGUUGUUCUAAACCUUUGAAAUAUUGUUGCAAAAUACAAAUAAUGAAAGGGUACAUUAUUAGUAAUUGCUAAAUUAGAUUGGAUAUUUUUUAUGAUUAUAGUUUUUUCUUAAAAAGAAUAUGUUUGUUUUUCAGCAUGAAUAGCUCAAUAGUUCAACUUUUAGCUUCCGAAAAACUUAAUGGCGAUAAUUAUGCGGCUUGGAAAUCAAAUCUUAACACAAUACUAGUGGUUGACGAUUUAAGAUUUGUCUUAACUGAGGAAUGUCCUCAAAACCCUGCCUCUAAUGCUAACCGAACUAGUCGGGAUGCAUAUGAUCGAUGGAUAAAAGCUAAUGAAAAAGCCCGUGUUUACAUUCUUGCCAGCAUGUCUGAUGUAUUGGCAAAGAAACAUGAAUCCUUAGCCACGGCUAAAGAGAUUAUGGAUUCAUUAAGGGGAAUGUUUGGGCAACCAGAAUGGUCCUUAAGACACGAGGCAGUCAAAUACAUUUACACUAAGCGUAUGAAGGAAGGGACCUCUGUUAGAGAACAUGUUCUGGACAUGAUGAUGCACUUCAACAUCGCUGAAGUGAAUGGUGGUCCCAUCGAAGAGGUUAAUCAAGUUAGUUUUAUCUUAGAGUCUCUUCCGAAGAGCUUCAUUCCAUUCCAAACGAAUGCGUCUUUGAACAAGAUAGAAUUUAACUUGACAACCCUUCUGAAUGAACUCCAGCGAUUCCAAAACCUAACUAUGGGUAAAGGAAAACAAGUGGAAGCAAAUGUUGCUACCACAAAAAGAAAAUUUAUAAGAGGAUCGUCCUCUAAAACCAAAGCUGGACCCUCAAAACCUAAUGCUCAAAUAAAAAAGAAGGGAAAGGGAAAGACUCCCAAACAGAACAAGGGUAAGAAAGCUGCAGAAAAAGGUAAGUGUUACCAUUGUGGCCAAAACGGGCACUGGUUAAGAAACUGCCCAAAAUACCUUGCAGAAAAAAAGGCAGAGAAGGAAACACAAGGUAAAUAUGAUUUACUAGUUGUAGAAACAUGUUUAGUGGAAUAUGAAAAUUCUACCUGGAUACUAGAUUCAGGAGCCACUAACCAUAUUUGCUUCUCAUUUCAGGAAAAUAGUUCUUGAAAAAGCUUUCAGAAGGUGAGAUCACUCUCAAGGUUGGAACAGGAGAGAUGGUCUCAGCUUCAGCAGUGGGAGUUUUAAAGUUGUUUUUUAGAGAUAGAUAUGUCAUACUUAAGAAUGUCUUAUAUGUACCUCAAAUGAAAAGAAAUUUAAUAUCUAUCUCUUGUAUUUUGGAACAAAUGUAUAGAAUAUCUUUUGAAAUUAAUGAAGCGUUCGUUUUCUAUAAAGGUAUUCUAGUUUGUUCUGCUAUACUUGAAGACAACUUAUAUAAGUUAAGACCAACUAGAGCAAAUUUUGUCUUAAAUACUGAAAUAUUCAGAACAGCUGAAACUCAGAAUAAAAGACAAAAAGUUUCUUCUAAUGCCUAUUUAUGGCACUUAAGACUUGGUCACAUAAAUCUCAAUAGGAUUGGGAGAUUGGUUAAAAGUGGGCUUCUAAGUCCGUUAGAAGAUAACUCUUUACCUCCUUGUGAAUCUUGUCUUGAAGGAAAAAUGACCAAGAGAUCUUUUACUGGAAAAGGUCUAAGAGCCAAAGGACCCUUAGAGCUCGUACAUUCGGACCUUUGUGGACCAAUGAAUGUCAAAACUCGAGGUGGAUAUGAAUAUUUCAUUAGCUUCAUUGAUGAUUAUUCAAGGUAUGGUCAUAUUUACCUAAUACAUCAUAAGUCUAAUAGUCUUGAAAAGUUCAAAGAAUAUAAGGCUGAAGUAGAAAACGAAUUAGGUAAAACAAUAAAAAUACUUCGAUCAGAUCGAGGUGGAGAGUAUAUGGACUUACGAUUCCGAGACUAUUUAAUAGAAAAUGGAAUCCAGUCACAACUCUCUGCACCUAGUACACCUCAACAGAACGGUGUAUCAGAAAGAAGAAACUGGACCUUGUUAGACAUGGUUCGCUCUAUGAUGAGUUUUUCUCAGAUGUCAGAUUCUUUUUGGGGAUAUGCUUUAGAAACAGCUGCUUAUAUUUUGAAUAAUGUUCCCUCUAAAAGUGUUUCAGAAACACCUUAUGAGCUAUGGAAAGGGCGUAAAGGCAGUUUACGUCAUUUUAAAAUUUGGGGUUGUCCAGCACAUGUGUUGGUACAAAAUCCAAAGAAAUUGGAACAUCGUUCAAAAUUAUGCUUUUUUAUAGGUUAUCCAAAAGAAUCAAGAGGUGGUUUGUUUUAUGAUCCUCAAGAAAAUAAAAUACCACAUCAGGGAUCAUCAACCUUGUAGUAAACUAGUAUUUAAAGAAAUUUCCAAAAGUGCUAUAGAUAAAACCUAGUUCAUCCACUAAAGUAGUUGAUAAGACUAGGAAAUCUGGUCAAUCACAUCCUUCUCAACAGUUGAGAGAGCCUCGACGUAGUGGGAGGGUUGUUCAUCAGCCUGAUCGCUAUUUGGGUUUAAUUGAAACUCAAGUCGUCAUACCUGACGAUGGCAUAGAGGAUCCAUUAACCUAUAAACAGGCAAUGAAAGAUGUAGAUCGUGACCAAUGGAUCAAAGCCAUGGACCUCGAAAUGGAGUCUAUGUACUUUAAUUCUUUCUAGACUCUAGUAGAUCAACCAAAUGACGUAAAACCUAUUGGUUGUAAAUGGAUCUACAAGAGAAAACGAGACCAUGCCGGUAAAGUACAGACUUUUAAGGCUCGACUUGUGGCAAAGGGUUAUACCUAGAGAGAGGGAGUAGACUAGAGGAAACUUUCUCUCCCGUUGCCAUGUUAAAGUCAAUUAGAAUACUCUUAUCCAUCGCCACUUUUUAUGAUUAUGAAAUUUGGCAGAUGGAUGUCAAGACAGCUUUUUUGAACGGUAAUCUUGAAGAGAGCAUCUAUAUGUCUCAACCAGAGGGGUUUAUAAAACAAGAUCAAGAACAAAAGGUUUGUAAGCUUAAAAAAUCCAUUUAUGGAUUAAAACAAGCUUCUAGAUCCUGGAAUAUAAGAUUUGAUAUUGCGAUCAAAAUCUUAUGGCUUUGAACAAAAUGUUGACGAGCCUUGUGUUUACAAAAGGUCGUCAAUUCCAUUAUAGCAUUUUUUAGUCUUAUAUGUAGAUGAUAUUCUACUUAUUGGAAAUGACGUAGGAUAUCUUACUGAUAUCAAGAAAUGGCUAGCUAUGCAAUUUCAAAUGAAAGAUCUGGGAGAUGCACAAUACGUUCUCGGAAUCCAAAUUGUUCGAAACCGUAAGAACAAAACACUAGCCAUGUCUCAAGCAUCUUACAUAGACAAAAUGUUGUCUAGAUAUAAAAUGCAGAAUUCCAAAAAGGGUCUGCUGCCGUACAGAUAUGGAAUUCAUUUGUCAAAGGAACAAUGUCCUAAGACACCUCAAGAAGUUGAGGAUAUGAGAAAUAUUCCCUAUGCUUCCGCUGUUGGAAGUUUAAUGUAUUCAAUGUUAUGUACUAGACCUGACAUUUGCUACUCAGUAGGGAUGGUCAGUAGGUAUCAAUCCAAUCAUGGACGUGAUCACUGGACAGCCGUUAAAAACAUUCUACAUGCUCAUGUAUCGUACAAAGGAUAUGAUCCUUACUGGAUACACUGAUUCGGAUUUCCAAACUAAUAAAGAUGUUAGAAAGUCUACAUCAGAAUCAGUAUUUACUCUAAAUGGAGGAGCAGUAGUUUGGAGAAGCAUAAAGCAAACUUGUAUAGCUGAUUCCACAAUGGAAGCUGAUCAUUUUACAAAAGCCCUCACGGCUAAAGUGUUUGAGGGUCACCUACACAGUUUAGGUGUACGAUGUUUGUAAACUAGGACAAGUGGGAGACUUAUUGGCCAUGUUUCAUAUAUAUUCUCUCACACCACAUCUCUCAUACCACUAGGAAUUUUAGUCCAAGUGGGAGUUUGUUGGAAUUUUUUGUCCUAAAACUCGUAGUUUGUAAAUCAUAUUCUAUUCAAUAAAGUUGUUAUUGAGAAAUUAAAUAUUAUAAUCUUAAAUCCAAUAAAUCAAAGUUCCAAGGCUAUUUUUUGAAUAAACUUGAACUUUAUGUGUAAACAUAAACGUGGAUCAAGUUCGAGUAUAUAGCCUAAAUAGUCUAUAGUAUAUGAAAUAAAGGUUGGGCGCCUUAUUUUGAGAGACUAUGGAUGCGGCCCACUUUGUAGUACAAACGAUGUGAUCCUAAUCGUUCAUGUAGAGACAUGAAAGUGGGGGCAUCCUAUGUAAAAUGUUUACAUAAGACUGAACCAUGAAUUAGUCAUUUUUACGUUAUAACAUCGUUUACUGUUUAAAACUGACUAUCUCAAUUAUUGAUGACCUAGGUAACUUAGUCUUAAUCCUGAGUUAACUAUGAACUCCUGUUCAUACGAGAUUAUCCUUAGAUCUGCAUAGGUGAGGGCAGCUCAUCAGCGUUGGCCCAAUAAGCCUCCCAUUUCAGGGGUAAGAUCGGGUGGAUAGCUGGGAACAUAGGGUACAAGAUGGAAUUCACUCCUACCCGCUUUAGGGUUAGUAGAUAGGUUGCUCUCUUAAGCACUAAAUCCAAGUCUUGAACAAGGGGCCCCACCCUCUCAUUGGCCCGAGAGGGAUUAAGUUUAUAGGUUGAACCUUAAACCAAUUGUUCAAUAGUGGAUUAGUGGGACUUAAGGAGCAAGAUGUAAUCUUGGGGGUAAAACGGUAUUUUGACCCAGCCAAGGUUACGAGCAACCUGUGAAGGAUUAACUUACUGAUUAUGGUUUUAUCAAAUGGACACAAAUAUAUCUAUAGUGAGGGGAGUGCAACUACGGGACUUUAGUGGAAUGACCCGUUAGUUAACGAAUGUUGAUUAACUCGGUUUAAAAGAGUUUAGCUAGUUAAUCUUGAAUCGUUGGAGCCCAUGAUCUAUAGGUCCAUUAGGUUCCUCUGCUAGCUCAUAUGGAUUAAACUUAGAACAGUGUGAUGAAAUAAGUCGAAUUGUUCGAAUUGGGAGAAGAAAGGAAAACCGACAUAUACAGUGAUAUAAUCGUCGAUCUUCUAAUUAGAAAUAGAGCUUUAUGUUUUACAUACUAUAAGUAUGAAUGCGGAUUCAUACUAAGAAGCUCGAAAUUGGUCAAAAAUAGUAAAAAGUCAAAAUGUUGACUUUUGACUUUGAAAAGUCAAACUUUGACCGGCCUUAUAUUCAAAUGUGAUUUGAAUUUUGGAAAAAUGAAUGCGGAUUCAUGCUCGGGAGGUUGGAAUUAGUCAAGACGGACAAAAUGGUAAAAAGUCAAAAUAUUGACUUUUGACUUAGAAAAGUCAAAGUUUGACUUUUGACUAGAAAAAUCUAAUGACCAUUUUACCCUUGGACUAAGUUAGUGGGAAAAUCCAACAUUUUGUUGGAUAAUCCCACUAACUCUUAGUGGGAUAUGUGGCUAUAUGAGAUAUAGACACCUAGCCCACUAAGUUCCACUAAUUGUUAGUGGAAUAUUAGGUGUUGAGAUUUGGCAAUUGAAUUGCAUGCAUUUUUGCAUGUAAUUAGGCUAUAAAUAGAGAUGUUUUCAAAUGUUGAAGGACUUUUGCCUCUUUUAUCAUUUUCAUAAUCUCAACAAAAGAAAAAAGAAAGCUUCCAAUCUCAUUUUAUCUCCAUUACUUUCUACACCAAAAUUGGGUCCCACAACCCGGUUCUUUGUCUAGAGGAUAGCAGUUGAGUACUAGUGGUGGUCUCGGGUAGAAUUGGUAAGAAGACAUCAAACCUUUUGAAAGCUUCAAAGGUAAUACUUCUUAAAACCCUAAUUUGAUUAGUUUAUAGUUACAUGUUAAUUGUGGCAAUUAGGGUAGAAAUUCGAUUCUUUUUCCGCUGUGCAUGA